rnacentral:hammerhead_ribozyme from 1 species
AUCCAACAGACGAGUCCCAAAUGGGACGAAACGCGCGUCCCGGAU